rnacentral:lncRNA from 1 species
AUGACAGUGGCAGGGUGCCCAGCCAGGACAUGGACAUCAGCCAUGGUUCUAAGUUCUCUGCAAGUGUGUGAGUGUGUGUGUAGGGGCUGGGGAUGGGGCUGGAGGUCAUUCACAGAUCAGAGCACAGGAGGGGAGAGAGAGCUCCUGAGGGUAGGACUGCUGGUCAUUCACACCCUACGCCCUGGAGCCCUGAGGACCUGUCACUCGGACCCACCACCAGCCAGAGCAGCAUCAGUCACUGACCAGAGGAGCCCAGAAGCCACAGGAGUGCCCACAUGGCUGGUACAUUGGAGACGCUCUGGAAUAAAUACACCUGGGCCUUUGAAAACGGAGGUCUUCUGUAUAUUAGGAAGGAAGCCAGAGCAGAUCACCUUCCUGCAAGUCUGCCAUGUUCUUCAAUCCAUGGGGUGGAGUCAGAUAUGUGCCGCAGAGUCAAGGGUCAGUGUGUGGCCACCGCUGCCCACUCCUUCUACAAUCUCUUCACUGAGCGCUCCGUGA